UACAGAGGGGGCUAGCGUUGCUCGGAAUCACUGGGCGUAAAGCGCACGUAGGCGGAUUGCUAAGUCAGGGGUGAAAUCCUGGAGCUCAACUCCAGAACUGCCUUUGAUACUGGCGACCUUGAGUCCGGGAGAGGUGAGUGGAACUGCGAGUGUAGAGGUGAAAUUCGUAGAUAUUCGCAAGAACACCAGUGGCGAAGGCGGCUCACUGGCCCGGUACUGACGCUGAGGUGCGAAAGCGUGGGGAGCGAUCCGG
rnacentral:rRNA from 1 species